AUUAGUUUUUUAAUUGAAGGCUAGAAUGAAUGGUUGGACAAGAAAUAAUCUGUCUUAAUUAAAUAAAUUGAAUUUAACUUUUAAGUGAAAAGGCUUAAAUAAUCUAAAGGGACGAUAAGACCCUAUAAAACUUUAUAUUUAAUAAUAGUAAUUAAUUUUAUUUUAAGAGUAUUAUUUAAAAAUAUUUGGUUGGGGUGACAAGGAUAAAAUAUAAAAUAACUGUCUUUUUUUAUUACAAUAAUAUUUGGUUUAAUGAUCCUGAAAUGGAUUAAAGAUUAAGUUACUUUAGGGAUAACAGCGUAAUUUUCUUUAAGAGUUCUUAUCGACAAGAAAGU
rnacentral:rRNA from 1 species